UCUCCGUUGGUGAACCAGCGGAGGGAUCAUUACCGAGUUUACAACUCCCAAACCCAAUGUGAACCGUACCAGACUGUUGCCUCGGCGGGGUCACGCCCCGGGUGCGUCGCAGCCCCGGAACCAGGCGCCCGCCGGAGGGACCAACCAAACUCUUUCUGUAGUCCCCUCGCGGACGUUAUUUUUACAGCUCUGAGCAAAAAUUCAAAAUGAAUCAAAACUUUCAACAACGGAUCUCUUGGUUCUG
rnacentral:misc_RNA from 1 species